GGGGAUGUAGCUCAGUGGUAGAGCGCUUGCCUAGCAUAUGUUAAGUCCUGAGUUCAAUCCCCAGUGCCACCA
rnacentral:tRNA from 1 species